CGACCGGCGCACGGGUGCGUAACGCGUAUGCAACCUACCUUUAACAGGGGAGUAACACUGAGAAAUUGGUACUAAUACCCCAUAAUAUCAUAGAAGGCAUCUUUUAUGGUUGAAAAUUCCGAUGGUUAGAGAUGGGCAUGCGUUGUAUUAGCUAGUUGGUGGGGUAACGGCUCACCAAGGCGACGAUACACAGGGGGACUGAGAGGUUAACCCCCCACACUGGUACUGAGACACGGACCAG
rnacentral:rRNA from 1 species